rnacentral:misc_RNA from 1 species
UUAAGUUCAGCGGGUAUCCCUACCUGAUCCGAGGUCAACCUUGUAAAAAAGAAAGUGUCCCUGUGAGGGGACGGUGACCGGGUCUGGACUUCUAGCCUGGUACGUGCCCGAAGGCUCAGUGUACAGGAGUCCUCACAGACGCCUCAUUAUCUUUGGGAAGAGCGGGAGGGCGAGCCUCCCCGCUACGACCAACAACAAGC